rnacentral:rRNA from 1 species
GAUGAACGCUAGCUACAGGCUUAACACAUGCAAGUCGAGGGGAAACGAUAGAGAAAGCUUGCUUUUUCUAGGCGUCGACCGGCGCACGGGUGAGUAACGCGUAUCCAACCUGCCCACCACUUGGGGAUAACCUUGCGAAAGUAAGACUAAUACCCAAUGACGUCUCUAGAAGACAUCUGAAAGAGAUUAAAGAUUUAUCGGUAGACGAUGGGGAUGCGUUCCAUUAGAUAGUAGGCGGGGUAACGGCCCACCUAGUCUUCGAUGGAUAGGGGUUCUGAGAGGAAGGUCCCCCACAUUGGAACUGAGACACGGUCCAAACUCCUACGGGAGGCAGCAGUGAGGAAUAUUGGUCAAUGGGCGAGAGCCUGAACCAGCCAAGUAGCGUGAAGGAUGACUGCCCUAUGGGUUGUAAACUUCUUUUAUAAAGGAAUAAAGUCGGGUAUGGAUACCCGUUUGCAUGUACUUUAUGAAUAAGGAUCGGCUAACUCCGUG